CACGAUCCUGGUUGACCUGCCAAACACCGUAUGCGCCUAGUCUAGUCCCUCCUUGGGGCAGCCCUGUGCAGCGGCAUCACCUCUAUCACGCGGGAGACGCUUCAGUAGCAGCACACACCCAGGGAGUGGCGACCCUGAAUGGCCCGCAGAGCUCUGGAGCUCCCAGCAUUCCCACUGGGCCUUCCUGCCUCGCCCACCGGUGCAGCCCAGGGCUGUGAGUGCUGGAAGGAGACACGCGUUGUGAGCAGUCGUUCCAGCACCUGCGUGGAGUGGAGGCAGGGGAAGCAGGCUGGGGAAGCCCCAGAAGGCGUUUCUGCAGGAAGCAGAGCAGGUGUGUCCCCGAGCCCCGUGCCUGUGUGCGGAGUGCUGGUGCUCCUGAGAGGCAGGCCUUUCCUCCCUGGGGAGCUGGAGCUGGGAGGGGAGGGCAACUGAAAGCACAAAAGGGGCUGAGUUCUGAAGCCCCAGAGGCUAUCUGACUGCCUGGCUGAUCCUCUCAAUGUCUGGAACCCAAUGUCCACGCAGCCUGCUGCAAUCCUCCUUCUGGCAUAGCUGUCCCCACAGACACUGGCAUUUGGUCUGUGGUUGGAGCUGAGCGAACAACGUGAAAUGGGACAGAGCUGCAUUCAAACACACCAAGGGACCCAAAACCAGCUCAGCUUGCAAACGUGCUGAAGGAGCCGGCCUCCAAGCCUUCCCAGACUCCUUCGGAUUGAUUGCAUUUCCAAGAACGUCUGUUCUGGUGUUUUGUCCAUUUUGCAUUUACUUUUUGUACAAUGGCUGCUGCUGCUACUGCUGCUGCUGCUAAGUCACUUCAGUCGUGUCCGAUUCUGUGCGACCCCAUAGACCGCAGCCCACCAGGCUCCCCCGUCCCUGGGAUUCUCCAGGCAAGAAUGCUGGAGUGGGUUGCCGUUUCCUUCUCCAGUGCGUGAAAGUUAAGUCGCUCAGUUGUGUCCAACUCUCAGCGACCCCGUGGACUGCAGCCUACCAGGCUCCUCCGUCCAUGGGAUUUUCCAGGCAAGAGUACUGGAGUGGGUGCCAUUGCUUUCUCCAUUGUACGAUGGCAGUGGUUGGCAAAUAAAGGCUAUCUGUGGUGCUGCAAGUCUGUGGAAAUUGCACUCAGGGGGCAAGCUGCUGUGCAGUCAG
ensembl:lncRNA